rnacentral:rRNA from 1 species
CCUACGGGUGGCAGCAGUGAGGAAUAUUGGUCAAUGGGCGCGAGCCUGAACCAGCCAAGUAGCGUGAAGGAUGACUGCCCUACGGGUUGUAAACUUCUUUUAUAAAGGAAUAAAGUGAGGCACGUGUGCCUUUUUGUAUGUAAUUUAUGAAUAAGGAUCGGCUAACUCCGUGCCAGCCGCCGCGGUAAUACGGAGGAUCCGAGCGUUAGCCGGAUUUAUUGGGUUUAAAGGGCGCGUAGAUGGGAUGUUAAGUCAGUUGGUAAAGUUUGUGGCUCAACCAUAGAAGUGCCGGUGAAACUGGGAGUCUUGAGUAUGUUUGAGGCAGGCGGAAUGCGUGGUGUAGCGGUGAAAUGCAUAGAUAUCACGCAGAACCCCGAUUGCGAAGGCAGCCUGCCAAGCCAUGACUGACGCUGAUGCACGAAAGCGUGGGGAUCAAACAGGAUUAGAUACCCGAGUAGUC